UUUCUGUAUAUGUGAUAUGGCGAAGGUGA
rnacentral:piRNA from 1 species